rnacentral:lncRNA from 1 species
CGCGGAGCCCGCCCCGCCUGACGCGCCCCUGACGCACCGGAGCCCGCGGGGGCGGCAGAGACCCGCCCCGGCCCGCAGGACACCCCCUCGGAACGCGCGGCCCCCGGCUAAGUCAUGUUUAACAGCCUCAGAAAUUAUCUUGUCUCCGCGUUCUUUCUUCUGCCGGCGAGCCAGUGUCAUUUGUGGAUUAUUAAAGAAACCUCUCCAUACCUGAUGCAUAAAGGUGUAUUCAUAAUUGCUCAUUGAAGCAGUUUUAUGAUGGGUAGCUGAAAUACAACAUCAUAAUUUUUACUGGAAAAUAGCCACAAUGAAGGAACACCACAAUUUCACCAUGAAAACCAGCACAACCUUACACAGAUGACAAACAUUUCCCCUCAAAACUUGUUAAACUGUAUUUGGGCUGACCAAAUUAACCAGAGUUAUUCUAUUUAUGGGGGAGCAGGAAGUAACUUGAUAAAAUGCUUUGAGUUUAUAUAUCAUGUCAAAUAAAUAGCAUAAUUUUAAAGGAAAAAAA